rnacentral:rRNA from 1 species
CAGUAGCCGCGGUAAUGCGUAGGGUGCGAGCGUUAAUCGGAAUUACUGGGCGUAAAGCGUGCGCAGGCUGUUGUGUAAGACAGGUGUGAAAUCCCCGGGCUUAACCUGGGAACUGCGCUUGUGACUGCACAGCUAGAGUAUGGCAGAGGGGGGUGGAAUUCCACGUGUAGCAGUGAAAUGCGUAGAGAUGUGGAGGAACACCGAUGGCGAAGGCAGCCCCCUGGGCCAAUACUGACGCUCAUGCACGAAAGCGUGGGGAGCAAACAGGAUUAGAUACCCGAGUAGUCCCUGUCUCUUAUAC